rnacentral:rRNA from 1 species
AUUGAACGCUGGCGGCAUGCUUUACACAUGCAAGUCGAACGGUAACAGGCCGCAAGGUGCUGACGAGUGGCGAACGGGUGAGUAAUGCAUCGGAACGUGCCCAGUCGUGGGGGAUAACUACUCGAAAGAGUAGCUAAUACCGCAUACGAUCUAUGGAUGAAAGCGGGGGACCGUAAGGCCUCGCGCGAUUGGAGCGGCCGAUGUCAGAUUAGGUAGUUGGUGGGGUAAAGGCUCACCAAGCCAACGAUCUGUAGCUGGUCUGAGAGGACGACCAGCCACGCUGGGACUGAGACACGGCCCAGACUCCUACGGGAGGCAGCAGUGGGGAAUUUUGGACAAUGGGCGCAAGCCUGAUCCAGCAAUGCCGCGUGCAGGAAGAAGGCCUUCGGGUUGUGAACUGCUUUUGUACGGAACGAAACGGCUCUGGUUAAUACCCGGGGCUAAUGACGGUACCGGAAGAAUAAGCACCGGCUAACUACGUG